AACCCAUGUUGUGGACACUUCCGCAAGAGAUCCUUGAAUCAUUUCCAUGCCUCAAAUAAUGAUUCAAGCUCCAGCUGAGCAAAUGAAGAUAUCUUAUUGUGAAGAU